AGUUUGAUCAUGGCUCAGAUUGAACGCUGGCGGCAUGCCUUACACAUGCAAGUCGAACGGUAACAGGUCUUCGGAUGCUGACGAGUGGCGAACGGGUGAGUAAUACAUCGGAACGUGCCUAGUAGUGGGGGAUAACUACUCGAAAGAGUGGCUAAUACCGCAUGAGAUCUACGGAUGAAAGCAGGGGAUCGCAAGACCUUGUGCUACUAGAGCGGCUGAUGGCAGAUUAGGUAGUUGGUGGGAUAAAAGCUUACCAAGCCGACGAUCUGUAGCUGGUCUGAGAGGACGGUCAGCCACACUGGGACUGAGACACGGCCCAGACUCCUACGGGAGGCAGCAGUGGGGAAUUUUGGACAAUGGGCGAAAGCCUGAUCCAGCAAUGCCGCGUGCAGGAUGAAGGCCUUCGGGUUGUAAACUGCUUUUGUACGGAACGAAAAGCUUCGGGUUAAUACCCUGGAGCCAUGACGGUACCGUAAGAAUAAGCACCGGCUAACUACGUGCCAGCAGCCGCGGUAAUACGUAGGGUGCAAGCGUUAAUCGGAAUUACUGGGCGUAAAGCGUGCGCAGGCGGUUAUAUAAGACAGAUGUGAAAUCCCCGGGCUCAACCUGGGAACUGCAUUUGUGACUGUAUAGCUAGAGUACGGCAGAGGGGAUGGAAUUCCGCGUGUAGCAGUGAAAUGCGUA
rnacentral:rRNA from 1 species